rnacentral:rRNA from 1 species
GAUGAACGCUGGCGGCGUGCCUAAUACAUGCAAGUCGAGCGAACGGACGAGAAGCUUGCUUCUCUGAUGUUAGCGGCGGACGGGUGAGUAACACGUGGAUAACCUACCUAUAAGACUGGGAUAACUUCGGGAAACCGGAGCUAAUACCGGAUAAUAUUUUGAACCGCAUGGUUCAAAAGUGAAAGACGGUCUUGCUGUCACUUAUAGAUGGAUCCGCGCUGCAUUAGCUAGUUGGUAAGGUAACGGCCUACCAAGGCAACGAUGCAUAGCCGACCUGAGAGGGGGAUCGGCCACAUUGGAACUGAGACACGGUCCAGACUCCUAAGGGAGGCAGCAGUAGGGAAUCUUACGCAAUGGGCGAAAGCCUGACGGAGCAACGCCGCGUGAGUGAUGAAGGUCUUCGGAUCGUAAAACUCUGUUAUUAGGGAAGAACAUACGUGUAAGUAACUGUGCACAUCUUGACGGUACCUAAUCAGAAAGCCACGGCUAACUACGUG